AUUUAAAUUCCUUAACGAGGAUCCAUUGGAGGGCAAGUUUGGUGCCAGCAGCCGCGGUAAUACCAGCUCCAAUAGCGUAUAUUAAAGUUGUUGCAGUUAAAAAGCACGUAGUUGGAUUUCUGGAUUUGAAUUAUUGACCCGCAGCUAUGCUGUGUGUGUUGAUAAUUUUGAUCCAUCUUUUUGCAAAACAUAUCUAUCCUUCACUGGAUUGGGUAUGCAAUGCAAAUCGUUUACUUUGAAAAAAUUAGAGUGUUCAAAGCAUGUGAUUGCACUGAAUACAUUAGCAUGGAAUAAUAAGAUAGGACUUCGGUUCUAUUUUGUUGGUUUCUAGGCCUGAAGUAAUGAUCGAGAGGGAUCGUUGGGGGUGCUCGUAUUGAUGCGCUAGAGGUGAAAUUCUUGGAUUGCAUCAAGACGAACUAAUGCGAAAGCAUUCACCAAGGAGGUCUUCUUUAAUCAAGAACGAAAGUUGGGGGAUCGAAGACGAUCAGAUACCGUCGUAGUCUCAACCAUAAACUAUGCCAACUUGGGAUCGGUGGAUGUUGAUAAACGACGUCAUCGGCACCGUAUGAGAAAUCAAAGUUUUUGGGUUCCGGGGGGAGUAUGGUCGCAAGGCUGAAACUUAAAGGAAUUGACGGAACGACACACCAGGAGUGGAGCCUGCGGCUUAAUUUGACUCAACACGGGGAAACUUACCAGGUCCAGACAUAGUGAGGAUUGACAGAUUGACGAUCUUUCUUGAUUCUAUGGGUGGUGGUGCAUGGUCGUUCUUAGUUGGUGGAGUGAUUUGUCUGGUUAAUUCCGUUAACGAACGAGACCUCAGCCUACUAAAUAGUUGCACCUAGUCUUUUGAUUAGGCGUUCAACUUCUUAGAGGGACUGUUGGCGUUAUAGCCAAAGGAAGUUUGAGGCAAUAACAGGUCUGUGAUGCCCUUAGAUGUUCUGGGCCGCACGCGCGCUACACUGUUGCAUUCAAUGAGUUUUCACCUUCACCGAGAGGUGUGGGUAAUCUUUGAAAGUGCAACGUGAUGGGGAUCGAUUAUUGCAAUUAUCAAUCGUGAACGAGGAAUUCCUAGUAAGCGCAAGUCAUCAGCUUGCAUUGAUUACGUCCCUGUCGUUUGUACACACCGCCCGUCGCUCCUACCGAUUGAAUGAUCCGGUGAAAACUCAGGAUCGUGGUUACAAAACUGGGCAACUAGUUUUGGAACAUGCGAGAAUUUGCUUGAACCUUAUCAUUUAGAGGAAGGAGAAGUCGUA
rnacentral:rRNA from 1 species